rnacentral:sRNA from 1 species
CUGACCAAGGCGGGGGCAGCUGAUGCCCCCCUCCGUCUAAGAUCAAUACAUGAAUAUCCUAAGUACCAGGCUGAAUUUCCCAUGAGUCCUGUGACCUCAGCCCACGCGGGGACCUACAGGUGCUACGGCUCACUCAGCUCCAACCCCUACCUGCUGUCUCACCCCAGUGACCCUCUGGGGUUGGUGGUCUCAGGACCCUCUGGGGGCGCCAGCUCCCCCACAACAGUCCCCACCUCCAUACCUGCAGGCCCUGAGGACCAGCCCGUCACCCCCACGGGGUCGGAUCCCCAGAGUGGUGAGUGAGGGGCUCUGAGUGGGAGGUGGGCGGGGUCCAGGGGAGGCAGGAGUGGGUUCUGUCCUAGGUUCAGGCUCCUCUGGAGGUGGCGAUGUGGACGGGCCCCUCCCCUGCCUGGGCCUCAGUUUCUCCAAGUGUAAAGGAGAGGGGCCUGCGGGUGGG